ensembl:lincRNA
CGCUGGCCUGGACUGGGGAGGUUGCGGGAGUCCCCUGGGGUCUCCCGCGGGCACAGAGCGGCGAUCCGGGGAGGGGGAGCUACGUGACUUCGGGUCCCUCCAGCGUCGCUGCCCACUGCACCGUGAGGGCUGCGCCCACCCCAUCUUCACUGGCCAAAGAGAGCCCCAGAGCGCAGAGAGGGACGGGACUGGAUUCCAAACCUUCUUCACCCCCGAAAUUCUCCCCGCCCCGGACCCGGACUCUCUUUGCAGCGAAAAGCUAAGCGGUCCCAGGAAGAAGAGUGCGUGUGUGCCAGGGCGAGAGGGGAAAGGGCCUGUGCCCCAGGCCACCACCGAGGGCAUUCAAGUUCCCGGCAAUCAAAGUUACCGCGUGUCGGGUCGCGGGCUCGGAACCUGGCGGAAGGACCCGGCCAGGGACCUGGGGCGGCAGGAGGCCGGGGCGGCUACGGCCACGCCGGGAACAAGUGGUUCGGUGGCUGCGGCUGCGGCCGUGACCCCGAGGCUGCAACUUUCCCGCCGUGCCGCGGGGGAACGGCGCGGGGAAAGCGACGGGAGCGGGGAGGGAAGGGGCGGCGCGCGGCUCUUGGUACCGUGUGCGGAGCGGCACCGCGCCGCGCCUCGGGCUCUGCUCUGCGCCGGUUGUGGCCCCGCCGGUCGCCUGCUCAGACCGCCGCCGCGUCUCGCCGCUGGCGCGAACGCUCAUCCGCGUCUCGCCGGCCGCUCUGGGGUCCCCUCGGACCACCCGAUCGCCGCUCGCUGGCCGCAACUUCAGGCGCGCCGCGGGCUCGGACGAGGCGCGCCCCGAAUGUCCCGGGGCUCAGCACUCCUGCGCUCCAUGCCCUGGACCGGGCCACCCCGCCCCGGCCGGCUCACCGCCCGGCCGUCGUCGGACGCGUCUUUUCGCCGAGCAUCGCGCCCCUCUCUUCCGAGCCGCCGCCGCCGCUCAAGUCCGCGAUCAACUUUCCCUCGCUUCCUCCGCCCCGCUCGGUCCCCGCCGCCCAGACCCCGCCUCCUGACGCUCCCUCCCUCACCUCGCGCCUCGCCCAGCCCCCGCUCGCCCUGCCGCGCCUCGCAUCUCCCCCAGGAAGGGGCCGCCGGGACCCCUGCGCCCCCGGUCCCCACCACGCCCGGACCCCCGGGAGCGGCGCGCAGCCAGGCGGGCACUCAGGGUAUGAAUAUUUCAGUGCAGGCGAAGCUGCCCUCUGCCGAUGUCAUGGCACCGGCUGCUGUGGCAACUCGACGAAUCCCCCAAAGGGCCAAGGAGGAAGCUCGCGGAAGCGGUCUCAGGGUUUCUGGACCUGUCGCUGAUGCAUACUGACUGUAGCAGCCUGACGCGGGCUCUGCGUUGAGCCUUUCCGGCCUCACCUCUUUCCAGCCUCAGCUCUUUCCAUAUUCAACAGUCUUUCCCGUAGGUCUUGUCGUCGUCCCCUCUUGCUGUGGAACGCAGGCUUGAAGCAGGUGAGGGGUGGUGCAACCAGACCCUGAACCCAGCAUCUACCUGAUUGCAGAGCUUCCGUUCCUGCCAUUCGUUCUUCAUUCAUUCAUUUAUGCGCUGUUGUGUGCUAGCAACCAAAACAGGUUUGGGGAAUGUGAUGCGGAACAGACCAGCCUCGGUUUCUGUUCCUCCUGAAGCUCCUCUAGUGCAGGAACCAGACAGGCAUCAAGGAAUCACACCAACAGGUAAAAAUACAGGAGGGAUCAGUUCUAGGAAGGAGAGUACAUUAAUGGCACCUAGGCUAGGGGAUCAGGGAAGGCUUCCUGGAGAAGGUGACACUGAGCUGAGAUCUAAAGGAUGAGCAGUGGAGGGAGGGUAGAGUUUUAGGCAGGAGAAACAGCAUGUGCAGAGGUCCUGUGGUGGUAAGGAGUGGAUAUCUGAGGAACUGAAGGGAGGCCAGAGAGGCUGGAGCACGGAGAGUCUAGGGAGCUGAGGUAAGUAAAACUGGAGUGGGAGCAGGGCAGUACUGUGCGGGGCUCUGCUAGCCUUGAUCAGGGUUUGAUCUUCAUCCUAAGAGUGAAGGCAUCAAAGCAGGGUUUUGGCGUGGGAUUGACAUGAUCUGAUUUGCAGGUAGAAAAAUGAGGAAUUGAUUGGGAGGCAAUAAAGGCUAAGAAGGGACCACUUCAUUUACAAAUAAAUAUUGAUUUUCCCCAAGGG